rnacentral:rRNA from 1 species
AUUGAACGCUGGCGGCAUGCCUUACACAUGCAAGUCGAACGGUAACAGUUCUUCGGAUGCUGACGAGUGGCGAACGGGUGAAUAAUACAUCGGAACUUGCCUAGUGGGGGGUGACAACUACUCGAAAGAGGGGCUACUACGGCAGGAGAUGUACGGAUGAAACCAGGGCAUCGCAAGACCUUGCGCUACUUGAGCGCCCGAUGGCAGAUUAGGUGGUUGGUGGGAUAAAACCUUACCAAGCCGACGACCUGUAGCUGGUCUGAGAGGACGAUCAGCCACACUGGGACUGAGACACGGCCCAGACUCCUACGGGAGGCAGCAGUGGGGAAUUUUGGACAAUGGGCGCAAGCCUGAUCCAGCAAUGCCGCGUGCAGGAUGAAGGCCUUCGGGUUGUAAACUGCUUUUGUACGGAACGAAAAGCCCCGGGUUAAUACCCUGGGGUCAUGACGGUACCGUAAGAAUAAGCACCGGCUAACUACGUGCCAGCCGCCGCGGUAA